GGAAUAGUUCUCAACAUCUUCCAGUUAAUUACAAGCAAAGUAACGCUCUGAAUAAGGCGCUGCCCUCUGCGUAUUUCCUUCCCCACCGUGGGACUCUAACUAAGUCAAUUUUCCCGCCCUGAAAGCGGCAAGUACCUAUUGUACUACUCACCAAGAAAAUCUACGGGAAUAGUUCUCAACAUCUUCCAGUUAAUUACAAGCAAAGUAACGCUCUGAAUAAGGCGCUGCCCUCUGCGUAUUUCCUUCCCCACCGUGGGACUCUAACUAAGUCAAUUUUCCCGCCCUGAAAGCGGCAAGUACCUAUUGUACUACUCACCAAGAAAAUCUACGGGAAUAGUUCUCAACAUCUUCCAGUUAAUUACAAGCAAAGUAACGCUCUGAAUAAGGCGCUGCCCUCUGCGUAUUUCCUUCCCCACCGUGGGACUCUAACUAAGUCAAUUUUCCCGCCCUGAAAGCGGCAAGUACCUAUUGUACUACUCACCAAGA